UACAGGGGGGGCAAGCGUUGUUCGGAAUUACUGGGCGUAAAGAGUGUGUAGGCGGUGCUCUAAGUUCGGUGUGAAAUCUCCUGGCUCAACUGGGAGGGUGCGCCGGAAACUGGAGUGCUUGAGCGUGGGAGAGGAAAGCGGAAUUCCUGGUGUAGCGGUGAAAUGCGUAGAUAUCUGGAGGAAUACCGGUGGCGAAGGCGGCAUCCUGGACCGACAUUGACGCUGAACGGCGAAAGCUAGGGGAGCAAACGGG
rnacentral:rRNA from 1 species